CUUGAAUGAAUUUUACAAAGUAUAGAGAUAAAGCCUGUUGAUAUUUUCCGUCCCAAUCUUGGUGAAAAUCUCAUCCGUGUAAAGUAUUUGUGGAUUUCAUCCACGCCGUAAGACUCCAGGGUGAAGCAACUAUUUUCACAGACGGAUUAAGACUCAAUGCUUCCUUUAUGAUAGGAAUAAAGAAUUCGCGAUCUUUUUGAAUACUGAAGUGAUUCAUCUAUAAAUCUGUUUUUCCAUUGGGUAUGUCAUUGUAUGUAUAUGCAAGGACAGCUUGAAAGUCAGAUCCACCCAUUGUUAUCCUUAUAUAUGACACGCC
rnacentral:lncRNA from 1 species